GAUGAACGCUGGCGGCGUGCUUAACACAUGCAAGUCGAACGAACCAUCUGCGACCGUUUUUUUCGGAAUGAAGUUGCUUAUGACUGAGUGGCGGACGGGUGAGUAACGCGUGGGUAACCUGCCACUUACUGGGGGAUAGCAGCUUGAAACGGCUUGUAAUACCGCAUAAGCGCACAAUGUUGCAUGCCAUGGUGUUGAAAACUCGGGUGGGAUAAGAUGCACCCGCGUCUGUUUGGCUAGUUGGGGAGAUAACAGCCCACCAAGGCGACGAUCAGUAGCCGAGCAGAGAGGGUGACCGGACACACUGAGACUGAGACGCAGCCGAGACUCCUACGGGAGGCAGGAGUGGGGAAUAUUGCACAAUGGAGGAAGCUAUGAUGGACCGCCGACGCGUGAGUGAAGAAGUAAGUCGUGAUGUAAAGCUCUAUUAGCAGGGAAGAUAGUGACGGUACCUGACUAAGAAGCCCCGGCUAAAUACGUG
rnacentral:rRNA from 1 species